GGCCUCGUAGCUCAGCUGGUAGAGCAUGCGCGUACAAAGCGAAGCCAGCGUCCAUGCGUGGGUUCGAAUCCCACCGAGGUUA
rnacentral:tRNA from 1 species